rnacentral:rRNA from 1 species
GGAGGCAGCAGUGGGGAAUAUUGGGCAAUGGGGGGAACCCUGACCCAGCAACGCCGCGUGGAGGAAGAAGGUUUUCGGUAUGUAAACUCCUGUCCUUGGAGACGAGUAGAAGACGGUAUCCAAGGAGGAAGCCCCGGCUAACUACGUGCCAGCAGCCGCGGUAAUACGUAGGGGGCAAGCGUUGUCCGGAAUAAUUGGGCGUAAAGGGCGCGUAGGCGGCUCGGUAAGUCUGGAGUGAAAGUCCUGCUUUUAAGGUGGGAAUUGCUUUGGAUACUGUCGGGCUUGAGUGCAGGAGAGGUUAGUGGAAUUCCCAGUGUAGCGGUGAAAUGCGUAGAGAUUGGGAGGAACACCAGUGGCGAAGGCGACUAACUGGACUGUAACUGACGCUGAGGCGCGAAAGUGUGGGGAGCAAACAGGAUUAGAUACCCUGGUAGUCCACACUGUAAACGAUGAAUGCUAGGUGUAGGGGGUAUCGACCCCUUCUGUGCCGCAGUCAACACAAUAAGCAUUCCGCCUGGGGAGUACGGCCGCAAGGUUGAAACUCAAAGGAAUUGACGGGGGCCCGCACAAGCAGCGGAGCAUGUGGUUUAAUUCGACGCAACGCGAAGAACCUUACCAGGUCUUGACAUCCACUUAAACUUACAGAGAUGUAAGGUGUGCUUGCACAAAGUGAGACAGGUGGUGCAUGGUUGUCGUCAGCUCGUGUCGUGAGAUGUUGGGUUAAGUCCCGCAACGAGCGCAACCCUUAUCUUCAGUUACUAACGCGUAGAGGUGAGGACUCUGAAGAGACUGCCGGGGACAACUCGGAGGAAGGUGGGGACGACGUCAAAUCAUCAUGCCCCUUAUGACCUGGGCUACACACGUGCUACAAUGGCCACGACAGAGAGAAGCGAAAUCGUAAGGUAGAGCGGAACUCAAAAAAGUGGUCCCAGUUCGGAUUGUGGGCUGCAACCCGCCCACAUGAAGUCGGAGUUGCUAGUAAUCGCGGAUCAGCAUGCCGCGGUGAA